rfam:Triticum aestivum genome assembly, contig: Triticum_aestivum_CS42_TGACv1_scaffold_098850_2AL
CUAAUACUCCCUCCAUCCGGAAAUACUUCUCCUUCAAAUGGUUGUAUUUGGACUUAUUUUAGUUAUAGAUACAUCCAUUUUAUCCAUUUCAAGGACAAGUAUUUUCGCAGGGAGGUAGUAUAUA